rnacentral:tRNA from 1 species
GUGGUCGUAGCUUAAUGGCAAAGCUCCUGACUGUGGCUCAGGUGAUGGGAGUUCGAUUCUCCUCGACCACC